UGCCAGCUCAUCCUCUGCCACCUAAAAAAUUUAAUCGGAAGUCAGACUCAACAAUAAAACCGGAAAGCCUUCAAGCAUUUGAUCCAGGAAAUAAUAUGAUCAAAAUAUGUCAAUGCAAAAUGCUUAAAUUGUUUUGCAGACAUGCUAAAAUAAAGCCAGAGUAUAUAUUAAUAUGCAAGGUGGCAAAAUAAAGAACUGAAUUGGGCUUUUUUUUUGUCGGAAGAAUUAGAAGGAGAUUGAAAUAACAAGUUGAAAAUAAAAACCAAUUACCUAUGGAAACCAAGCAAAUGUG
rnacentral:misc_RNA from 1 species